UUUUGAGACAGAUUUUCUUUAUGAAGCAGUGCUAGCUGUACUUGAACACACUGUGUAGACAUGACUGUCCUCAAAAGCAGAGAUCUGUCUGACUC
ensembl:miRNA